rnacentral:rRNA from 1 species
UACGUAGGUGGCAAGCGUUAUCCGGAUUUACUGGGUGUAAAGGGCGUGUAGGCGGGGACGCAAGUCAGAUGUGAAAACCACGGGCUCAACCUGUGGCCUGCAUUUGAAACUGCGUUUCUUGAGUACUGGAGAGGCAGACGGAAUUCCUAGUGUAGCGGUGAAAUGCGUAGAUAUUAGGAGGAACACCAGUGGCGAAGGCGGUCUGCUGGACAGCAACUGACGCUGAGGCGCGAAAGCGUGGGGAGCAAACAGG